rnacentral:rRNA from 1 species
UACGGGGGGGGCAAGCGUUGUUCGGAAUUACUGGGCGUAAAGGGCUUGUAGGUGGCCAACUAAGUCAGACGUGAAAUCCCUCGGCUUAACCGGGGAACUGCGUCUGAUACUGGAUGGCUUGAGUGUGGGAGAGGGAUGUGGAAUUCCAGGUGUAGCGGUGAAAUGCGUAGAUAUUGGGAGGAACACCAGUGGCGAAGGCGGCUCACUGGACCGGAACUGACGCUGAGGCGCGAAAGCGUGGGGAGCAAACAGG